rnacentral:rRNA from 1 species
UACGGGGGGGGCAAGCGUUGUUCGGAAUUACUGGGCGUAAAGGGCGCGUAGGCGGUUCAUUAAGUUGGAUGUGAAAACUCUGGGCUUAACCCAGAAAGGUCAACCGAUACUGCGGGGCUAGAGUGCAGAAGGGGCAACUGGAAUUCUCGGUGUAGAGGUGAAAUGCGUAGAUAUCGAGAGGAACACCUGCGGCGAAGGCGGGUUGCUGGGCUGACACUGACGCUGAUGCGCGAAAGCUAGGGGAGCGAACGGG